rnacentral:rRNA from 1 species
AACGAACGCUGGCGGCGUGCUUAACACAUGCAAGUCGAACGCGAAAGGGGCUUCGGUCCUGAGUAGAGUGGCGUACGGGUGAGUAACGCGUAGAUAACCUGUCCUGGUGUCUGGAAUAACGUCUCGAAAGGGGCACUAAUACCGGAUAUUCUUGCUUUCUUCAAGGUAUGCAAGGAAAGGUGGUCGCUGGAACAAGCUACUGCACGAGGAGGGGUCUGCGUACCAUUAGCUAGUAGGUGGGGUAAUGGCCUACCUAGGCGACGAUGGUUAGCGGGUCUGAGAGGAUGAUCCGCCACACUGGCACUGGAAUACGGGCCAGACUCCUACGGGAGGCAGCAGUGAGGAAUAUUGCGCAAUGGGGGCAACCCUGACGCAGCGACGCCGCGUGAGUGAGGAAGGCCUUCGGGUCGUAAAGCUCUGUCAAGAGGGAAGAAGUGCAUGGUGGUUAAUAUCUGUCAUGUUUGACGGUACCUCUAAAGGAAGCACCGGCUAACUCCGUGCCAGCCGCCGCGGUAAUAC